rnacentral:rRNA from 1 species
GGAAGGAUCAUUACCGAAUUGUCAACAUGAAGUUGUUGCUGGCCCUCAGAUGGGGGCAUGUGCACACUCUGUUUACACAUCCACUCACACCUGUGCACUCCUCUGUAGUACUGUGGUCUGGGGGUUCUGUCCUCCUACUGUGGUUCUGCGUAUUUAUACACACACACUGUAAUAAAGUCUCAUGGAAUGUAUGCCGCGUUUAACGCAAUGAAAUACAACUUUCAGCAACGGAUCUCUUGGCUCUCGCAUCGAUGAAGAACGCAGCGAAAUGCGAUAAGUAAUGUGAAUUGCAGAAUUCAGUGAAUCAUCGAAUCUUUGAACGCACCUUGCGCCCUUUGGCUAUUCCGAAGGGCAUGCCUGUUUGAGUAUCAUGAACACCUCAACUCUCAUGGCUUGCCAUGAUGAGCUUGGACUUGGGGGUUUUGCUGGCCUACAGUCAGCUCCCCUCAAAUGCAUCAGCUUUCCAGUUUUUGGUGGCACCACAAGUGUGAUAAACAUCUACACGUGUGGUUCCCCACCAUGUAACCUUCAGUGAUGGAGGUUUGCUGGAGCUCACAAAUGUCUUUCCUCAGUGAAGACAGUUCUUUGAUUGUUUGAUCUCAAAUCAGGUAGGACUACCCGCUGAACUUAAGCAUAUCAAUAAGCGGAGGAA